rnacentral:rRNA from 1 species
AGCUCCAAUAGCGUAUAUUAAAGUUGCUGCAGUUAAAAAGCUCGUAGUUGCAUUUCCGAGGCAAGGGAUUAGUCCGACCUUUGGUGGGUAUUUAAUCCUCUUGCCUCGUCCUUGAGUGGUGCUUCUUGGUAUUAAGUUAUCGAGGAGAUAGCCGCUCAUCGUUUACUGUGAGAAAAUUAGAGUGUUCAAAGCAGGCUUAUGCCGUUGAAUAUAUUAGCAUGGAAUAAUAAGAUAGUGCCUCGGGACUAUUUUGUUGGUUUGAGAACCAAGGUAAUGAUGAAUAGGGACAGUUGGGGGUAUUCGUAUUCAGUUGUCAGAGGUGAAAUUCUUAGAUUUACGGAAGACGAACUACUGCGAAAGCAUUUACCAAGGAUGUUUUCA